AUUGAACGCUGGCGGCAGGCCUAACACAUGCAAGUCGAACGGUAACAGGCAGAAGCUUGCUUCUUUGCUGACGAGUGGCGGACGGGUGAGUAAUGUCUGGGAAACUGCCUGAUGGAGGGGGAUAACUACUGGAAACGGUAGCUAAUACCGCAUAACGUCGCAAGACCAAAGAGGGGGACCUUCGGGCCUCUUGCCAUCGGAUGUGCCCAGAUGGGAUUAGCUAGUAGGUGGGGUAACGGCUCACCUAGGCGACGAUCCCUAGCUGGUCUGAGAGGAUGACCAGCCACACUGGAACUGAGACACGGUCCAGACUCCUACGGGAGGCAGCAGUGGGGAAUAUUGCACAAUGGGCGCAAGCCUGAUGCAGCCAUGCCGCGUGUAUGAAGAAGGCCUUCGGGUUGUAAAGUACUUUCAGCGGGGAGGAAGGGAGUAAAGUUAAUACCUUUGCUCAUUGACGUUACCCGCAGAAGAAGCACCGGCUAACUCCGUG
rnacentral:rRNA from 1 species